GGAUAACUCCUGUCAGCUCAUGAAAGUGAUGAAAGUUUUGAUCUUGCCAUGGAUGACUGUGAUAAUAUUUCUGAUAAUCCCAAAUGAUGACUAAUAUAGCCAGUAAUUUUGAUUUUAAUUCAGUGUUAAUUUAUUGUGGUUUAUGUCUGCUGUUCGAAUUUAUUUGUUUAGAUUUUUUUCCCUUUUCCACACAUUCCUAAAUAGUAUUUAUAUGGUGGGGCUUCAUUAAUCUAGACACAAAUAAUCUUGAUAACUUCCCCCAUCCAAAAGGGAAGGGGAUUUAUUUAUGAUAUUUUAGAAUAUUUAUUUACCUGUAUGCUUUAUUAAUCCGGGUGAUUUGGCUGGGAAUAUAAAGAUGUCUGGAAUAACAUGGCUCUACUGUGCAUAUAUGUAUAUCUCCCAAGAUCUAAGAGUCUCAAGUUCCAAGACUUGUUCCAUGUAAUGAGAAUGAAUCUCACAAAGUCUGAUGUCAGUAAGGGGAGUUUGUUUGGUCAUUUGAAUGUUAUACUUGUAGUAUUAUAAUUUAUCUGGAUGCAAAUUGUUUAUUGUACAUCAUCUAUACCAUAUAUACAAAAUUUGGACCAGUUAAGUGGAAUUCAUUGAGAAGAUCUUUCAUAUCCGCUCUUCAAACCUGUUUUAAAAAGGCUUGUUUAUUGUAAUUACAAGAUAGAUAUUUUUAAGUGUAACUGGAUUCUGCACUCAGAGAAAGAAAACCAAGUGUACCUGGUAACUUGAAGUUUUCAAUAUUUACAUAACCAUAAUAUUUGAUGUCAUGUCCCCUUUGCUUGUUUUUGUUCUUGUCUGUUAUUUACGAAAUUUUUUAUUAUUGUUGGUAUUCAAUAUGUUAACUAAGUAAAAUUGAAGUUUUGCAUAUAUGUAUUUUGAUCUGUAGUGUUUUUACAUAUCAUUUCAUAACAACCUUCAUCUUCAAUUCAUAGACCAGUGAGUGAUCUUUUUUUCUCAUUUUUCUUAUAAUGUGACAAUCUUCAUCUUGGUAACUCCGUACGUCUUUGCUAGCCUUGGUGAAUGAUCCACUUGGAGAGGAGUGGAUUGUCACCUUUUGGUUUGUGAGGAUGGGAAUACCAGUCUUCUAUAGAAAUCAGUGGCUCUGAACAGGGCCUCAGAUUUCAAAAGAGUUCUUUACAACCAUAUCCUAUGGAAUUUUUUUCUCUUAAUUUUUGGUUUUUUUUUUAAAUGACAGGUACUCAGUGUUUAGAAUGCAUUGGAUGAUCUCAAAAUAAAAAACUGUCAUGUGAUAUGAUUGGUUUAAAGUCCGCAAAAAAGAAAAAUCAUUGUAGAGGGAGUCCUAGCUGAAUUUGGUUACAGUCUAUUUUUGUGGUUUAUAUGAAUUCUCUUGUGCCCUUUAUAUUAUGCUAACAAUAUACUUCAGUUUAGUAAGGUUUCUCUUUUUCCUGUCUGUGAUAAUAUAUUCAUUCCUUUGACAUUUUUGUUCUCUUUGAUAUAAUUUAUUCUGUUGCAAAUCCAUGAUGAUCAUACCUGGCAUCUUUACAAUUUCUACAAUUUUUCUUUGACAUUUUGGUUUAUUUUUAAUUUUUUUUGAAAAUAUUACAUAUCAUGACACAAAUUGCUGUGGAUCUUAUGAAAUAUGUAUUUAUUAACAAUAGUUGACAUUCCAUUAUUGACUUUAAAACAGAAGAUGUACCGAUACAUGUAUUCACCACUCAUGUCCCACGACACAUCUUCUUGUCUUUAUUAAUGAAGCAUCAACUUUCGUGCAGUUGAGCUGUCAUUUUGUUAAAUGUAGUGUUAUAUGUUAUUGACUGUUCAGUCUUUUUUUGUUUUACAAUUUAUCAACCCAGUGCACCUGUAUUAAACACCUAUGAAGGCAAGGGGGGUCAGAGGGCCGAAUGGCAAAUAUAUCAUUUAUACGUAGGGUCUUGUCAUAUUCUCCACAAUUUGUAACAGUGUAAAACCUGUUGACCCUUAUUUAUUAUUAUUUAGUUUGAGUUUUUAAGAAUCGUACAUUUAUAUUACAUUAAUUAACAUACAUGUUUAGAUAAUUUAUCAGGAAAGGAGUAAUUUACAACAAUGUUAAUUUUUUUUUAACGCUUACUGUGCUUUAACUCUUGAAGAGCAUAAUAGACAGAAUUCAUAGUACAUGUAACUAUUCGCUUUAACCUGUUGUUUUCUGAAAUUGUUUUGUGUCGGAAUUACAAUUGCUUGUUUCUGCAUUUUAACUCUAUCAUAACUAGAUAGUGCAUAUACCAUGUCUUUCUGAUUUUUGUGUGUGUUAUUCAGUUUAAUUUGUUAUAAUUUAUCCAAUCAAUUGAAAUCCAGCUAUCGAGAUGCACGGGGAAAAUUUUUGUAUUGCAUUGAAAUAUUUGACAAAAAAUAAAUUGUUUUAUUU
rnacentral:misc_RNA from 1 species